rnacentral:lncRNA from 1 species
GUCCUCUGCCUCUCUGCCAGCUCGUUAUGGUACCAACCAGGCACCAGGCAGUAGGAACGGAGCCCAGGAGUCCCCAGCGAUGCCUACAGAGGGAACAAUGGAGAUCAUUCGUCCCCUGGUGUCCUCUGCCCAGCCAGCCCUCGGGUGGCAAUACCUGCACACAGACGUAGGUUCCUCCAUCCCAGCCUCUCCCCACAACCAUCUGCUUCUGGCGAUGUCACGUGGCGCCCCUCCUUUGUGCCUGUGCUCUGGUCUUGAAGCUGACAGGCUGUCUCCCCUGCACCUGCUAGGUUCCCACUUCAGUGCCACAUGGACCCAGGACAAAAGCCUCCCAGGGGUUUGAGUAGUUGGCAGGGCUUGGGGCUAGUAUUUGAGUUUGCUCUGGUGACCAUGGGCAUCCACGUGGGCCUACAGCGUCAGCUUUAGAGAAAGGCUGGGGGCCAGGAUCUGAGACAGAACGGCCUGAGUUCCAAGCCUUGGUCCUGCUUCCUACCAGCCACGUGCUGUGGGUAGCGGGUCAAGUCUCUUUGUGCCCCAUCUCCUUGUCUGGAGGUAGGGAAUAGAGUGUGCGUGCCUCACUGGACUUUUGUUGGGGAGGAAGGAGAUCAGAGCUGCGGUUACUCUUGUAACCAAUGGUAGCCUCCGCCAAGGGCCUCUACUCCGACUGUACCAGGGCCUGAACAUCUGGGAUAUUGUAUUUGUUCAUUGCUAUAAUAAAACGUGUGAGGGUAGGUACUUAUAAAGAAAAGAGGUGUAUUUAGCUCACAAUUUUGGAGGUUCAAGGGCCAGCAGUGGCAUCAGCACAGCUGUGGUGAGUCUUCAUCGUGGACGGCACCACAAGGGCAGGAGGGUGAGUGGCAGUGAGGGAGGGCACCACAGGACAGGAAGCCAGCAAGGCAGGGGUCUUUUGUAACAACUUGCUCUUGCAAGACCUCACUCAGGGCCUCAGGAGAACUGCAUCAUCCCUUCGAAGGGCAUGCCCCCGCCCGGCCCCUCGCCACCUGCCGAAGCUACCACACCGAGGAC